rnacentral:rRNA from 1 species
GACGAACGCUGGCGGCGUGCUUAACACAUGCAAGUCGAACGGAAAGGCCCUGCUUUUGUGGGGUGCUCGAGUGGCGAACGGGUGAGUAACACGUGAGUAACCUGCCCUUGACUUGGGAUAACUUCAGGAAACUGGGGCUAAUGCCGGAUAGGAGCUCCUGCUGCAUGGUGGGGGUUGGAAAGUUUCGGCGGUUGGGGAUGGACUCGCGGCUUAUCAGCUUGUUGGUGGGGUAGUGGCUUACCAAGGCUUUGACGGGUAGCCGGCCUGAGAGGGUGACCGGCCACAUUGGGACUGAGAUACGGCCCAGACUCCUACGGGAGGCAGCAGUGGGGAAUAUUGCACAAUGGGCGGAAGCCUGAUGCAGCAACGCCGCGUGCGGGAUGACGGCCUUCGGGUUGUAAACCGCUUUCGCCUGUGACGAAGCGUGAGUGACGGUAAUGGGUAAAGAAGCACCGGCUAACUACGUG